CCCAUGGUGUGCUCGGCGCCAAAGCCACCGGGGAGCCUCCGCUGUGCCUCUCCUACGCCGUGGUCACCGCCCUCCGCCAGGCCGUCACCGCCUUCAGGGCCGAGAACGGAGACGACUCCUGGUUCCAGAUGGACACCCCUCUGACCGUGGAGAAGAUACAACAGCUGUGCGGUGUCAAACCCGAACAGUUUGAUCUCAACGCGGCCAAGAGUUCGGACGAGGCGGCCAGAAGCUCCGCCCCUUUGGUCCGGAUCUCUCAGUGGAUGCCGGGCCGCCGCUUCCUGUAGACGGGCUCUUCCUCGCGCUCAAGGGGCUCCGGGCGGCGGGACACCUUUGUAUCUGAUCUGAUCGCGACUCUGGGAAUGAUUUAUCGGUCCUUCUAUAUGUGGACCUGUGUAUGAAUAC